AGAGUUGAUCAUGGCUCAGGACGAACGCUGGCGGCGUGCUUAACACAUGCAAGUCGAACGGGGAUUAAUGCGGAAGCCUCGGGUGGAAGGAUUAAUCGAGUGGCGGACGGGUGAGUAACGCGUGAGCAACCUGUCCCAGACAGGGGAAUAACACUUGGAAACAGGUGCUAAUACCGCAUAAGACCACGGGGUCGCAUGGCUCUGGGGGUAAAAGGAGUAAUCCGGUUUGGGGUGGGCUCGCGUCCGAUUAGAUAGUUGGUGAGGUAACGGCCCACCAAGUCGACGAUCGGUAGCCGACCUGAGAGGGUGAUCGGCCACAUUGGAACUGAGAGACGGUCCAAACUCCUACGGGAGGCAGCAGUGGGGAAUAUUGGGCAAUGGGCGAAAGCCUGAACCCCAGCAACGCCGCGUGAGUGAAGAAGGCUUUCGGGUUGUAAAGCUCUGUUAUGAGGGACGAAGGAAGUGACGGUACCUCAUAAGGAAGCCCCGGCUAACUACGUGCCAGCAGCUGC
rnacentral:rRNA from 1 species